GCUUACGGCCAUACCACCUUGAAUGCGCCCGAUCUCGUCUGAUCUCGGCAGCUAAGCAGGGUCAGGCCUGGUUAGUGCUUGGAUGGUCGACCGCCUGGGAAUACCAGGUGUUGUAAGCU
rnacentral:rRNA from 1 species